AGCUGGAGAGCACUGAAGGCUUAGAAAAGUGGCUAUAAAAGUUACCUAAAUAAAAAGAAGAAUUAUUUUCAAUGGUAUCCCUAGCCCGGCUAGAGAUGAGAAAUCUAGCCUGAAAAAUUGGAAGGACAACUUCUUCUGGCUGGACGAUCUUUGUCUUCCGGCCGACAUGGAUUUGAUUGAUAACUGGUCUCCUAUCUGUCCCCUUCCUGAGCAUUUGUUAUUGUUAGGAUGGGUUUACCAUGUUUGGGGCCAAGGGGAUAGGGAAUGGCCGGUGAUCCAUAAGAGCGGUGAAAGUGCUGAGCUUUUCCACCUUGGAUUUUGACUACGACAAACUUGCUGUAGGAUCGUGCGAUUGACCCGAAUGAGUCGUUCAGAGGAGUUUUACUUUAUUUCAGCGAUUACAGUUAAACCUCACACCGGCAGCACUUCGAUAUGGAAAACAAGGACUCAGUUCCUGAUUUCGCUCAUAGUGACCUAUUUAUAGGGGCCUGAUUCCGCUCGUAAUGACACAGAAGCAGUUGGAGCGGAAUCAAGGUCUUGUGAUUCCGCUCGAAACCGUCCACAUGACAUUUGGAGCGGAAUUAGUUGUAGGAGCGAAAUCAGUCUCUUAAACACCCUAAACAUGCUACUUUCUCGUACAACGUGCCCUGAUCUAUACAAGCUAGUCUAAGACUCGAUACAAGACGAAGUCGACAGAUGCAUGCACUAACACUUGCUGCGGAUGAAGAGCCAUUUUUGAAAUAGAUAUCUUCGGCUACCCAUGAGAUUUGGCCUCUGGUUGAUCCAAAGACUUCCGCGGCUGUUACUGCUGGCCCGAAGUCUGCAAAGGAAGCGGCUGGUUCAUUCGGAGUUCAAGUCAGGGCAGAGCCUUUGGCGGUGGAAGAAGAAAGUGAUCCGGAGGUUCGGGAGUUGGAUCAGGCGUUGUUGUAUCCUUCUUCUGCGGUGGCUACUAAAGGCAAAGGAGUCUCAUCUGAGUCUGCACCAAAAGGAUUGAUCCAUAAAAGGAAGGCUGAAAAUCUUCAACUAAGGUCUGCAGGCUCCCUCCCACUUCCUAAGUUGGUUAAGAAGGCAAAGAAAACAACUUCGUCCUCAACCUAUAAUGUUUUAACUGAUCUUACCGAGCAUUUGUCCGGAGGUAAGUCAUCUAGGGAGGAGGUCGUGAGGGCCUGGUCUACUCCUUCGGACACUUUAUCUGGUGGCUUCUUUCCGGUGGAUGAAGCUGAGGUGAAGCCUGCGGUUACUAGUAAGGAUGGAGGAAAGGUUUUGGGAGAGGUGAAGAUGGUAACUUUUUCAGGUAUGAUCUUAGGCUCUUCUUUGGGUCCGGACUGUUUCCUGGGUGAUGAUGAGGACCAAGUUUCCUCUCUUCCUUCAUCCUGGUUUGGACCCGAAGUGAUGACCUUUUUUCGAUAUGCAAAUGUUUUUUCGGAUGAGAUGGAAGUAGUUCCGGCUAAGGCUAAGGACAAGUUUACUCCGGACUAGGUGCGGCGGUGUUAGCCAACCAAGCUCAAUCAAAUGAAUAUGUGGUUGAGCUGUAUCGAAGAUGGGUGGAAGCGGAAUCGGUUAAGGAGAACUUGGAGAAUGAGAUUAUUUCUUUGAAACGCAAAAUGCAAAAAACUCCUGACACCGAGAAAAAGCUUGCCCAGCUCGCCCAAGAUCUGGUCGCUUAGAAGCAGAAGGUGAAAUCCCUAACAACGUUGAAUCUGAAGAGAGGGGUAAGGCGGCGGCCGAGCUUGCUGACUUUGUUGCAUCCACGAAAGAAAAAGAUGAGGAACAUAAGGGUGUGUUGGCCAAGAUGGAGGAGUCUUUGACCCAAGCUCGUGUGGCUGAUGAACGGAUGCUUGCAGGUGAAGCUGACUUAAAGGCGCGAAUGGAGGAGAUGAAAGAGCAUCAUAGAGCAGAGAUUGAGGAUCUGAAGUUGGAGAGCGCGGAUUUGGGUAAGAAGAUGGAGGAGCUUCGUGCGACGAAGGUUUUGUUAUUCACCGAGGGUGCCAAGUUGUUGGCAAAGCACAUUCGCAAGGGUCCAGAGAUGACCCAGGCGGUGGCCACGACUAAUUAAUAAUGCCAUGAGUGCGAUCGGUGUUAAUACAGGAGUUCAUGGGGGUUACCUUCAUGCCUUGAAGAAAAAGACUCCAUAUGGCGAAGUCCCUCUGCUGAACCGGAAUGCCGAAGCUAAAUUAAACACCGGUAUCACCUGCUUUGAUACCCUUAGCUUUUCACUGAUAAAUGAUCUUCCAAAUCUUGUGGACGAGCCUCUUCCUCGGAUCUAGGAAGCUCUAUCUUUCAAAGAGACAUCCGCAGAUAUAGUUGGAGGUGGACAUGCCCGGCUCCUUGGGGUAUGCACCUUUGGUGUAUAGUGACGAAUGUUGUAGGUGGACAUAUCUGGCUUUUUGGGAUAUGAACCUUUUGGUUUAUAUGGUAAUGACUUUUCUUUAUUACCGAUUGUAAGUACUUGACAAUUAU
rnacentral:lncRNA from 1 species